UAGCGGCUAAAUUUUUUUUUUGUGAUUAUAAUAAUAAUAUUAAAGCAAACAUAACUAAGGACCAGUCCGUAAAUAGGCAUCUGAAGGACUUGAUCCUUAGCUGAUCUUUAGUGCAGGUGGCAUGUUGCCAUUGGUGGAGAGAGUAUUGGUCUGGGUUCUUGCCACGCUUUUGAGUUUCCGAUCGAAUCGUCCGCCUCGUCGCCUCCGAUCCGGUGAGUCUUCUUCUCCAUCAUCCGGUGUGGAUAUGUUGCCUCCGAUCCGAGGAAGAAGCAGGAGUGAUUGAGUAUAAUACUUUGUUAGCUCACUAAAGGCUCGACGAGAUUCUUUGGGUUCAAAGCUGAGUGAGCUAUUGGAAGCUAAGGUUUCUGUCACGAGAGACUCCUUGACCAGUCUCUCUCUCUCUCUUUCUUUUUGUUCUGCAGAGCAACGUAAGUUACUUAAACCAUCCUUUGGCACCUAUCUUGUUGAUAAUUGGAUUGUGGUCAUCCUCAUUACAAACACAGCUGAGGGUGGCUAUACUCCGGCUACUAAGGACAAUAACUCAGGAGCUUUCACGUUUGGAGUUAACGGUGUCGUUUCUUCGUGUUUGUUGGUUCUUCUCUUUGCUUUCUUCAUGUUUUCAGUUUCUUUUCUUGAAUAAUGAUCUCGGUGUUCUUUCUUCAUGUGUUGAGCCUCAUUGUGAGUUUCUUUCAUUGUCUA